rnacentral:rRNA from 1 species
UGCAGUCGAGCGAACAGAUGAGAAGCUUGCUUCUCUGAUGUUAGCGGCGGACGGGUGAGUAACACGUGGGUAACCUACCUAUAAGACUGGGAUAACUCCGGGAAACCGGGGCUAAUACCGGAUAAUAUUUUGAACCGCAUGGUUCAAUAGUGAAAGACGGUUUCGGCUGUCACUUAUAGAUGGACCCGCGCCGUAUUAGCUAGUUGGUAAGGUAAUGGCUUACCAAGGCGACGAUACGUAGCCGACCUGAGAGGGUGAUCGGCCACACUGGAACUGAGACACGGUCCAGACUCCUACGGGAGGCAGCAGUAGGGAAUCUUCCGCAAUGGGCGAAAGCCUGACGGAGCAACGCCGCGUGAGUGAUGAAGGUCUUCGGAUCGUAAAACUCUGUUGUUAGGGAAGAACAAAUUUGUUAGUAACUGAACAAGUCUUGACGGUACCUAACCAGAAAGCCACGGCUAACUACGUGCCAGCAGCCGCGGUAAUACGUAGGUGGCAAGCGUUAUCCGGAAUUAUUGGGCGUAAAGCGCGCGUAGGCGGUUUCUUAAGUCUGAUGUGAAAGCCCACGGCUCAACCGUGGAGGGUCAUUGGAAACUGGGAAACUUGAGUGCAGAAGAGGAGAGUGGAAUUCCAUGUGUAGCGGUGAAAUGCGCAGAGAUAUGGAGGAACACCAGUGGCGAAGGCGGCUCUCUGGUCUGUAACUGACGCUGAUGUGCGAAAGCGUGGGGAUCAAACAGGAUUAGAUACCCUGGUAGUCCACGCCGUAAACGAUGAGUGCUAAGUGUUAGGGGGUUUCCGCCCCUUAGUGCUGCAGCUAACGCAUUAAGCACUCCGCCUGGGGAGUACGACCGCAAGGUUGAAACUCAAAGGAAUUGACGGGGACCCGCACAAGCGGUGGAGCAUGUGGUUUAAUUCGAAGCAACGCGAAGAACCUUACCAAAUCUUGACAUCCUUUGACCGCUCUAGAGAUAGAGUCUUCCCCUUCGGGGGACAAAGUGACAGGUGGUGCAUGGUUGUCGUCAGCUCGUGUCGUGAGAUGUUGGGUUAAGUCCCGCAACGAGCGCAACCCUUAAGCUUAGUUGCCAUCAUUAAGUUGGGCACUCUAGGUUGACUGCCGGUGACAAACCGGAGGAAGGUGGGGAUGACGUCAAAUCAUCAUGCCCCUUAUGAUUUGGGCUACACACGUGCUACAAUGGAUAAUACAAAGGGCAGCGAAUCCGCGAGGCCAAGCAAAUCCCAUAAAAUUAUUCUCAGUUCGGAUUGUAGUCUGCAACUCGACUACAUGAAGCUGGAAUCGCUAGUAAUCGUAGAUCAGCAUGCUACGGUGAAUACGUUCCCGGGUCUUGUACACACCGCCCGUCACACCACGAGAGUUUGUAACACCCGAAGCCGGUGGAGUAACCUUUUAGGAGCUAGCCGUCGA